UACGUAGGGGGCAAGCGUUGUCCGGAAUUAUUGGGCGUAAAGCGCGCGCAGGCGGCUUUGUAAGUCUGUCGUUUAAGUUCGGGGCUCAACCCCGUAUCGCGAUGGAAACUGCAAGGCUUGAGUGCAGAAGAGGAAAGUGGAAUUCCACGUGUAGCGGUGAAAUGCGUGGAGAUGUGGAGGAACACCAGUGGCGAAGGCGACUUUCUGGGCUGUAACUGACGCUGAGGCGCGACAGCGUGGGGAGCAAACAGG
rnacentral:rRNA from 1 species